rnacentral:rRNA from 1 species
UGAGGAAUAUUGGUCAAUGGACGGAAGUCUGAACCAGCCAAGUAGCGUGCAGGACGACGGCCCUAUGGGUUGUAAACUGCUUUUAUAUGGGGAUAAAGUGGGCCACGUGUGGCUUAUUGCAGGUACCAUAUGAAUAAGGACCGGCUAAUUCCGUGCCAGCAGCCGCGGUAAUACGGAAGGUCCGGGCGUUAUCCGGAUUUAUUGGGUUUAAAGGGAGCGUAGGCCGGAGAUUAAGCGUGUUGUGAAAUGUAGACGCUCAACGUCUGCACUGCAGCGCGAACUGGUUUCCUUGAGUACGCAUAAAGUGGGCGGA